rnacentral:tRNA from 1 species
GGAGAUUUAGCUCAGUGGUAGAGUGCUUGCCUAGCAAGCACAAGGCCCUGGGUUCGAUCCCCAGCUCCG